ensembl:lncRNA
CAUAUUACUAAUCAAAAAUUAAGUUUUGAUAUAUUUACGGUAGGAAAUUUACAAAAUAUCUUCAUGGAACAUGAUCUUUACUUAAUAUCCUAAUGAUUUUUGGCAUAAAAGAAAAAUCGAUAAUUUUGACCCAUACAAUGUAUUUUUGGCUAUUGCUACAAAUAUACCCCAGAGACUUCAGACUGCUUUUGUGCUCCAGGGUCACAUAUCUCAACGGCCUUCCUCAAAUGAGUUUAGAACAACACAAGGGUGAGUAAACCAUGAACUCUCUCAUUAAAUGUGGCCUAUGAGCUGUGAUUUACAUGUAAACGUGGUGUGUCUCAUGUCCAGCGGCAGCGUUUCCUCUGGCACGUCUCGAGCUCUGAAGAGAAGUCGUCUGAGUCACUCUCAGAGGCGGAGUCAGGCCAUAAGGAGGCGUGGCCUGAUUGAGUGUAGGGGGAGCAUAGAAUGCAAGAACCACUGUGUUCCGGUUUACACACAGAACUGGCAUCAUUUCCCUUACAGCCGUCACUGGAAACAGACAGCGGCGAGUCGCAGCAAGGACAGGAAGCAGAUACCUGGUCAAAUUUAGGGUCAGGAAGGGAAUUGUGGUCAGGGCUGGAGGCGGAGCCACAGUAGAGGUCAGAAGGUGAGGGGGAAUCAAGGUAACAUGUAACAUCCAUUACAGAGACGGUUUCUUGAUAUUGUGCAUCAUCUGGACAGCAAGCAGGAUAUAUGGAGGCAGAAUCAAGAGGCUCAUCUUUACCGCGGCGUCUGCGCAGCCGAGGGUCAGCACCCAUCCCAGCUGCUUAGACAGCAGCAGACGCAGACCCGGCGGCAGCGGCAGCACGCGCAGAGCGUCUGCGCAGUUGGGCAGCAUUUUGCGCAGCUGCAUGCAACACAGACAGGAGAUGUCAUCUUGAUUUCCCAGAAGUGCUGUCCGUCGCUGAGAGGCUUGGCUCCUCUGAUGGCGGCGGUUCCACAGCUGUACUCCGAGUGGAAGCUCACCUUGCGUUCAGAGCAGCUCAGAGUCACCGAGGAUGAUUUGCUCUCCUCGUCCCAAACCCAAUCACAUCCUUAACACGACAAACACAAAGAACCAUGAUUUCCAAUCUGAAACUUUCCUACUGUACUGUACCUGACUGUUUAUAAGUAGGUGGAUUUUUGUGAGUUAAUGUUUUUCUAAUCGUAUAAAAUCGACAGUGUGUUGUCUGUUAAGUCAAAAAUGUAUUUAAUUGAAAUAAAUUCUCAUUUUGAAAAAUUAUGACUGUUAUAAUUUCUGACCGUUUGUAAUGUU